rnacentral:rRNA from 1 species
CAUGCAAGUCGAGCGGACCGACGGGAGCUUGCUCCCUUAGGUCAGCGGCGGACGGGUGAGUAACACGUGGGUAACCUGCCUGUAAGACUGGGAUAACUCCGGGAAACCGGGGCUAAUACCGGAUGCUUGAUUGAACCGCAUGGUUCAAUCAUAAAAGGUGGCUUUCAGCUACCACUUACAGAUGGACCCGCGGCGCAUUAGCUAGUUGGUGAGGUAACGGCUCACCAAGGCGACGACGCGUAGCCGACCUGAGAGGGUGAUCGGCCACACUGGGACUGAGACACGGCCCAGACUCCUACGGGAGGCAGCAGUAGGGAAUCUUCCGCAAUGGACGAAAGUCUGACGGAGCAACGCCGCGUGAGUGAUGAAGGGUUUCGGAUCGUAAAAAUCUGUUGUUAGGGAAGAACAAGUACCGUUCCGAAAUAGGGGCGGCACCUUGACGGUACCUAACCAGAAAGCCCACGGCUAGCUACGUGCCAGCAGCCGCGGUAAUACGGUAGGGUGGCAAGCGUUGCCCGGAAU